GGGGUGGGGGUGGAGGUGGGACGGGGGGAACACUCUCUGAAAUGAAAGACAAUAAGAAGCGUAAGUUGCCUAAAGGAGUCUUCAAAAUGUGACAGGACUAAGAUGUCUGGUGAGCUGAAUCAAAGUGAUCAGAAGAGCACAAGUCUGAACUAC